CUGAGCUUGUAUCUGCCACCGACGCCACCCUCCCUCACGCCUCGCUACCUCGUCGUCUCGUCCCCCGCCCCCGCGCCUCAUUCAUCGCCCCAGCGCCUACCACCGACGUUGCUCUCCCUCGCCCCUCGUCCCCCGCCCCUACAGCCCUCUCCCUCACACCCGGUGGCCUUCCCCUGUCCCCUUGUUGACGGAUCCCGCAGAUCCAUCGGGGAGGCAACGGACGGUGGCGCGUGGUGGCUUCCCCGUCUUCUCCUCCGGCGCCGCGGAUCCAUCGGGGAGGCAGCGGAUGGUGGCUUCCCCGUCCACCCUCCGGCUACGUCCUCGGCCUCCCUCCGGCGACGGUGCCUCACUCCCCGAACAGCGAUGCCUCCCUCUGCUCCUCAGCAGCAGCGCCUUCCACGGCACCCAGCGAUGGCGGCCCAUGGACGCAACGCCCCUCCCCCUCCCGGUGGCAUGCUUUGCUUCCUUCCACAGGUUACUCGUCUAGUGUAGACACGACAUUGAGGUGAGCAGUUGUGCCAUUCUGCCUCCCCCUCGUUUAACCUACAACCGAUUUACUUUGGAUUUUGAAUUAUUGCUUCACUGUAUAUCCACUAUUUAUGUGUUUUCCCAUAUGGAGUAGUAGACGUGUUGAAUGGGAGUGAGUUGGAUUAUGGUAAUUUUGCAUGUCCACUUUGUUUAUCGUAAAUCAUAUUCAGGAAUUACGAAAAAAAUGUGUUACAUUUAUUUUUGAAUGAGAAAUUAUACUGGACUGGUGUCUGUGAGCUUAUUUGGUUCAAUUGUACUUCUCUGUUUGUUGAUCAUUGUAGCGAUACUGCUCAUCAAAAACAAUGGUAAUGAUUCUGGUCACCAUGUUGUUUUUUAGUUAGUUCAGAUAUUGUUAAUGAGAUUUGUUGUAAUCCAUACGCAAGCCACCUAGUGCCUAAGAUAUUGUUUACUGUAAAUUUUUAUACAUUUUACAGUAAUUUGAUUGCAUCAUUUGGUAAAUUGCCAAUGUGGUAACUUGCUGCCACUAUUGCGGUAACUAUCUAGAAUUUAAUACAGAAGUGUCGUAAAUUUAUUAUAAUAGUUCGUGGUUGGUAUGACAAUGAGGAAUUCUAGUAAUCCUAGUGGCAACUGUUGAGCAAUUCAAAUUAUCUUAAUUAGUGUUACCAUGGUUAGGUAGUCUUCACGUUUCUCGGACAAAGAGGUAUCUGCGUGUUCCUAUGAUAUAGAUGUUUUAUGAUUAGAUUAUAUAUUGUCAUUUUCACCAGAUUUAGGCAAUGGCAUAAAUCAGUGCUUGGUAGGUUGUGCAAUGACUGAUAUGGCCAUUAAUCUUGCUUUCUCUUCUUUUAUCGAAAUGCAUAUUAUAGUAAUUUUGUUUAUGUUACUGAGGUCUGAAGCACUAGUACAAAGUGAGUGUUCAUGUAGUUUCAUGAUCAAUGAUUUUCUGUUUCAGUGUCUUAACCAGGUCAGAUAUCCCUUUUCUUCUGAAUUUCUCAUGUGCAAGAACAUAGACCUAGGUAUGAUGAUUUUUUUCUAGCCUAGCAUUUGUACUAUUUUCAGUUCUCUUGCUUUUGUUUAUAGGUUUAUUUCUGGAAUCAAUUUCAUUACACUAGUAUAAUGCCCGUGCUAACGCCACGGUUUUUUUUUGUAGGGAAUGCUAUAUUAAUUUUUUUAGAGUUUUAAUUUUGGUUAAUUGUUUUUAAGUCUAUAUAUAUUUUAGGAAUCAUCAGUACAUAAAGACAUCUUUAUAUUUUCUCUAACUUUUUAAUCAAAUAUUGGAUAUCUUCAGGGAUGUUGUCGUAGCACUGGUUUGCACGACUCGCCAAAAUUUCAGCCAAGAACUCCGUCCUUAGUGAUCUUGAUAGCUGUGAAUGACAGAUAAUAUUUUGUCAAUAUUUAAUCGUUCAUUGAUGCAAAUACUCACGUUGAUACUCCCUUUCUUCUUCGGUCAUCCUCCCUCGACGAUCACGCUGAUACUCACGUUGUCUUCUAUUUAUAUCCUCCCUUCGUUCAUCGUUUAUCUCAGCACGACGAUUGCGACCUUGCGAUGUUUGAGCCCGCCUCGACGAGGCCUCAUCUUUAGCAAGAAUUUUGACCAAUUUGGAUUAGAUUACAAAAUUAGAAAAAACACCCAAUUAUUAAAAGCAUACCUGUGACGUUGGUGAUGUCGCUUAGCGCAUCGCGUGUAUGUCUAGGUGUAGACAUUGAAGCCUCCUGAAUGAAGAAAAAGGAACUGCAAAAGGGCAUUCAUGAAUUUUAUCAUUAGAUGUUGCAUGAUUAGUCAGAGACUUAUACUAUGAUCUCAUACACUUUUAUUAGUUACUUACUACAGAAAUAUGCAACCAUUCAGAUGUACAUGCAUAUAGGUUCAGAAAUCACCCAUCACCCAUCUGAACCUAUAUCCGAAGGCAACGGAAUUUUCUUCUUGCUAUUUUAGAUUCUGUGUCCAGCGAUUCAGCGAUUCAGCUAUGAUCGGAGAGUAAUGAAAUACACUCUAAUUCAAAAAAACCAUUCCACCAUUUAGAUUAGAAUACCGCGCUUGAGGAAGGGAGACGUAGAUUGAUUAACCGUAGAUUGUUAAUGCACUCGGAACCAUGCUACACACUGUUUCCAUCCCGAUCAGUCUCCACUCUAAAACCGCGUAGUUAUGAGAAAACAACAAAAAGCUUGUUGCCGUAGAUUGCAGUUAUCAGGAGUCACGAUAGCUCCAUUUCUACGUGAUCAACUUGAUCAGAAGCGCCAUCGCUGUCAGUGUCUGCCUGCAUUUCAGAAGAUCAAAACACCGAAUCAUUCAACAAUCUGGCAGACCGGCACAUGAGCGCGGGACCACGAUGAGAGAACAUGAUGCUUACCGGCGGAGGAGCGAUCUGGCCUGCGCCCCAUCCGACAAGGAGGCCGACGGCGUCGGCGAACGCGCGGUGCGCCAGCUUCGUCUUGGUCCGGGACUCCGGGCGAAUGACCUGGCGUGCUGCACGAGCGCGGCGCACCCGGCAAACCUCUUGCCCACCCUGGCGCCGCUCCCCUCGCACACCAGGCACAGGAACUGCCCCUUGUCCCGCUCCGCCUCGUAGAACCCCUCAGCGCCCUCGUCGCUCCCGUCGUGCACGCAGGCUGGUGCCCUUCCCGUCGUUCCUGCUCCGGCAGAUCCGGCAGCAGGCGGUCGUCGUUAGCACAAGACGUAGAUUGAUUAACCGUGAUUGACCUGGUCUGGUUAUGGUAGAGAUUAGUGGGCCGAAUUAGUGGGCUGCGGUGGAGAUGAGUUUAUUGGGGCGUGAGUUUGUGUGGUCUAACGGCCCAAGAAGUUUUCAAUUAUAGUGGAGAUAUGACAUAGGAGGUCAAUUACUAGAUUUUGUUCAGACUAAAGAUGGAAAAGGCCAACAAUGAUUUUACCUAGAACCGGUGAUGAAAGACUGCUGGCUUCCAGCAUUCCAAUUGCCGUUCUUUUUUUUUUUGCAAUGAUAUAUUCCAUGGCUUUAUUUACUGCUUGUGUUAGUAAAAAGAUCCAUAUCAUAUCUUUUUAUGGUAACUUAGAUCCUAUCUAUUUUAGGUUGUGUUAGGUUUGCUAUUUUUUUCAAACCAAAUUCUUGAAUGUCAGAUCCCUUGUUUAGUAAAUUCCUAUGUUUCUACUACAAAAUAUCGUAACUAUUGUGUGCACUAAAUCAGUAUACAUUAAUCUUAUGAUAAUAAGCAUUGCUGCCUUAUGCAAAUUAUCACGAAUUACUGCUCAGACAUUUGAAGCAGUCACAUUUUAGUCCAUUCUUCGGACAUUAUUAGUAUCCCGUAGUUGUUUACAUUAUGAUUUUUCUUGGUAACUAAUCACUCUGUCAUUGUAUAUUUUCUACUCACCCUAUGGGCAGAUUGUACCUUUUGUUUUAUUUAUUCUAGUAGAUCUGUUGGUUGCUUGAGCAUCCAUCACAAAUAGAACUAAAGAGGUGUCUGUCAGGUGUCAUUGUAUAUAUCUUCUAAGAAAACAUUUUGUGGAUAGGCAGUGAGAUGGACCAGUGCUUGAUAGUCUUCAUGCAAUGGGAGAUAAUUAGACUUCCCAGCAGAAGCUGCUUAUCUACAGAGGAGCAAACAGGCAUGACCAAUUGAAGUUGCAUGUGUUUAAUUUGUGCUGAAUAGAAUGUGCAAGAAAAGCAACUAAUUUUAGAAUGGAGUAGUGUUCAGUUACCCUCUAGAUGGCACUAUCGGAAUGACAUGUUGUCUUUUGUGUACUGUAUCUAGUACUUGUCAUUUGGAACUCGGAGGAAUAUGAUCAAAGUGAAAUUGUUCCCGUUUGAACUAAGACGAAUUGUAAAAUUGGCUGCAACUCCUGAAAACAUUAUCGUAAACAUUAUAGUAACUUUAA